ensembl:processed_transcript A930005H10Rik RIKEN cDNA A930005H10 gene
AGAUGACAGACCGCUCCAGGAACGAGCUAUAGAGCGAUCGCAUACCCCCGCAAGGCCCUCCAGGACUCGCUGACUCCCGGGCAGGGGUCAAGGGUCAGGAAUGGGUCCAGCUGUGCGCCUGGAAAGGACCCAGCGUGCCCACGCUCCCGGCAAGCCAGGACUCAAACAUCCCCAAAGGGCGUCCGGGCUGAUGACGAUAGCUCCCAAUCGCCCUCCAGACGCACACUGGCAGGAACAACCGGAGGGACUUCCCUGACCGACCCCGCGUUUGCUCAGCUUUGAAUUCCCGCUCUGUAGAUCUGUCGCAAUUUAACCAGAAGUCACCCUGAAGACGGUACCAGAAUCUCUGGAACUGGAGUUACAGAUGUUUAUAAGCCACCAUUGCAUGGAGCUGUUUGAGAAAGAUCAGAGGAUGUGCCCUUGUUGGAGGAGAUG